CUUGGGUAUCAGGUACCAGUGGUUGGCAGAGGGUCAUUCCGGCAUCCUCUCCUGCUGAGCCAGGAUUUCUUGAGCCAGAUCUUUCAAGUGCCCCCAACCACAUGUCCAGUGGCAAUGUCUUUUCAGCUGCUCACGGUGGUUCCAGGGUCAGUACUGCUUCCAGGCACAGAAGCACAGCACUCCGAGGGGAGGCCAGGCAGAAAUGGAGGAAGAAAGGGAGGCGUCCCUUGUAGUUUUCAAUCCCUUUCUCUUCUUCAAGUCAGUGUCAGGAGUCAACAGGUGUGUAGAGCACAGAUCCACGCAGGAAGCAAAAUACAGUGUAGUACAUUUUGAUCGCUGGGACAUGGCAGGAGGCGAUGGAUGAGAGGUUUCAGAAGAGCUCAUGCUACAGAAGCUGAGAUUCAACCAGUCUAGGAGACCCCAGUGCCUCUCAGUGUGCGGGUGACUGCCGAAGGAAGUUAAAUAGGUAACAACAGAAUGAAUGUUUUGUGUGCUGGCAAGACCCAUCUUAGAAUGGUUGCUGAAGUAUAUUCUAGAACUGCCUAUGGCCAGUAUUUUCAUUAAAGAACCAAACCAGUAAAUAUUCUCGAUGAUAGCAGCCUUAUUGUACGCAGGCAGACAAGGAUGGCUGAGUUCCCUUAAACUGACUCAUAAAAAUGGAUAACAAGGAGGAUUUGGUCCACUAACGUGCUUUGUCAAUACUUCUCUUAAUCAUAUCCUGACCACAGGCCUCCAAAGUAUGGCAGUAAAAGCUCAUUAAAAUGACAUUUAUUUACUUACUUUUAGUGAGGCCUAAAUCAUAACCCUCAUUAAAAUUAUGAACCCAACAUGGAAACCUGCUAUCAUUUCCAUAAUUUACUGCUCACUGUUCUUGAGGUGCAAAUUGAUUCAGUUGAAUAAAGGAAAGAAACGUGAAGAAUUCAACUAGAAAAUUAUCAACAGCGACAGACAUUCAGGAUGAUGACGAUGUACAAACUUAGUUCAAGAGAGUCAUCUUUUUGAAUAUGAAUAGUCUUUUAGAAAACAGCAGUAAAGUGUAAUUUAGAGCACAACUAAUAAUAUUUAGUAAUAAAUAGGAAUAUUUAUGAUCAAUAGGAAAAUAUUUGAGAAUCUAGAGAUAUAAAAAAUGCUUGAGUAAAACAGGAAAAAAAUCAUCUUGUUUGCAUGAAGGAAGGCAUAUUAUGAGAAGGCUAAAAUAAUCUGUGGAUUUACCCAAAGCCUCAAGAAUGGGAAAGGCAUUUAACUUUAAUUGUUUUAGAUAUAAACAUAUUUAUUUAGUUACAAAUUAAAUGAUGUUCUAAAGAUCAACAGGCAAGUAAAGAAUGCUAAGGGAGGAAAAAGCAAUCUCCCCUUAGGACCAACCCCCUAAGCUGAUGAUUGGUUAUUCAAUACCAAGUGGUCAGCCCUGAAAUCACAUAUAUACAAGUAACAUACUGACUGAGAAAGACCUGUAUCUACAUAUUCACAGACAUACAGACAAUUUAAAC
ensembl:lncRNA